rnacentral:rRNA from 1 species
CCCUUAGAUGUCCUGGACCGCACGCGCGCUACACUGACAUGUUCAACAAGCCUCCUAGUUCGACAGGAUUUGGGAAAUCUUUGAACGCAUGUCGUGAUAGGGAUAGAUCAUUGCAAUUAUUGAUCUUGAACGAGGAAUUCCUAGUAAACGCGAGUCAUCAGCUCGCAUUGAUUACGUCCCUGCCCUUUGUACACACCGCCCGUCGCACCUACCGAUUGAAUGUUUCGGUGAAGAUUCCGGAUAGGACUUUUUUGAUUUAUUUCAAUUUUGUCUUAAAAGCUAUCUAAACCUCAACAUUUAGAGGAAGGUGAAGUCGUAACA